rnacentral:rRNA from 1 species
AGAGUUUGAUUAUGGCUCAGGAUGAACGCUGGCGGCGUGCCUAACACAUGCAAGUCGAACGAAGCAGGGGGGGCGGAAUUUUUUCGGAGAGGAAGCCCCCCUGACUGAGUGGCGGACGGGUGAGUAACGCGUGGACAACCUACCCCGCACUGGGGGACAACAGCCGGAAACGGCUGCUAAUACCGCAUAUGCGCACGGCCCCGCAUGGGGCCGCGCGGAAAGCGCAUGCGGUGCGGGAUGGGUCCGCGUCUGAUUAGCUUGUUGGCGGGGUAACGGCCCACCAAGGCGACGAUCAGUAGCCGGCCUGAGAGGGUGGACGGCCACAUUGGGACUGAGACACGGCCCAGACUCCUACGGGAGGCAGCCCCGCGGGAUAUUGCACAAUGGGGGCAACCCUGAUGCAGCGACGCCGCGUGAGCGAUGGAGUACUUCGGUAUGUAAAGCUCUGUCAGCAGGGAAGAGAAUGACGGUACCUGACCAAGAAGCCCCGGCUAAAUACGUGCCAGCAGCCGCGGUA